rnacentral:lncRNA from 1 species
GUUUUUUAACUGAGUUUACUAGGGAUUCAUAGACUUUGGCCAGGAUAGAGAGCUUGGAGAUAGGACGACAGUUAUUAGCAUCUGAGGGAUCUCCACCCUUUAGCAGUGGGAGGACAUAAGCUGAUUUCCAAAUGCUGGUGGAUGCUUUACUCCUUUUUUGAAUUAAAACAUGAGCAUCCACAAUCCCGCUGCGCCUUGGUCCUUCUCUCUCACAUACGACAUAUUCGCCAGAGCUGCCCGCCAGUCAACAGUCGCCAGAGCUGCCCGCCAGUCAACAGUCGCCAGAGCUGCCCGCCAGUCAGUCACCAGAGCUGCCCGCCAGUCAACAGUCGCCAGAGCUGCCCGCCAGUCAACAGUCGCCAGAGCUGCCCGCCAGUCAACAGUCGCCAGAGCUGCCCGCCAGUCGUAAGUCGCCAGAGCUGCCCGCCAGUCGUAAGUCGCCAGAGCUGCCCGCCAGUCGUACGUCACCAGAGCUGCCCGCCAGUCGUGCGUCACCAGAGCCGCCCGCCAGUCAGGAGUCACCAGAGCCGCCCGCUAGUCAGGAGCCGCCAGAGCCGCCCGCUAGUCAGAAGCUGCCAGAGUGGCCCGACUGCCAGGAGAUGCCAGAGUGGCCCGACUGCCCGGAACUGCCAGGUUCCUGUGGAAACUGAGACUGCUAUCCCAUUGGUGCAGAAUGUAGAGGUCAUCAAGUAUGUACCAGAAGAUGCUGCAGCAUCUGUUGUUCCAGAGACUGUAGCAGUGCCUGAGGUAAAGGAGGUUGAUGUGACAGCAGAAGUGUCUGCAUCCAAGGAGGUAGAAGCUGAGGUACUUGUAGAUAGAGCCCCUAUCUUUAAAGAAGAACCAGCUCCAACUAAAACCACCCAAGAGUUGGAAGCCACGGAAGCAGUCAAGGAGUCAGAAGCCAUUACAGUAGAGUCAGAGGCCACAGCAACUGCUAUUGCCAAGGAAGCGGAGGUCACAUCAAAUGUGGUUACCCAAGAAUCUGAACCCACAGUCGUUGCCCAGGAGGCCGAGGCAGCCCCUGAGACUGAAUCCCUUGUAGAGGCUGUUACUGGGGAGACUACUGCUCGAGCCUCAGAGGCCACACCACCCACUGUUGCCAAGGAGACCAAGGCCACAGCAGUUCCCAUUGCCCAGGAGAGUGAGGCCGCAGCAACCUACAUUGCCCAUGAGACCUACAUUGUUGUGGAGAUAGAGACGACAGCAACCCCUGUUGUCAUGGAAAAAGAGGCAGUACAAACCCUCCUUGCCACGGAGACAGAAGUCGCAGCAACCCCCGUGGUCGUGUGAAGGACACAUAAACAGAGGCACCCCACACCAACCCACACCACUGUCCACCCAUCCGUCACCUGGACCCAGUGGGAUUCGGCUCUCGCUCCCGAGGGCAUAUGAUGGGACAGCUGCCGGGUGCCAGGGGUUCCUGCUCCAGUUGGAGCUCUACCUGGCGACCGUCCACCUGGCUCCCUCGGGAUAUGAGAGCGUGUCCGCCCUCAUCUCCUGUUUGUCGGGGAAAGCGCUUGAGUGGGCCAAUGCCGAAUGGGGAGGAAUAGACGCAGCGUUGGUCCGCUAUGAGGAUUUCACCCGCCGCUUCCGGGCGGUCUUCGAUCAUCCACCUGAGGGGAGAGCGGCGGAGGAACGCUUGUUCCAUCUCAGACGGGAUGAGGAGCGCACAGGACUUUGCACUGGACUUCAGGACCCUGGCUGCCAGCGCGGGAUGGAAUGAGAGGGCCCUGAUUGACCAUUACCGGUGUAGUCUACGUGAGGACGUUCAUCGGGAGCUGGCAUGCAGGGACACCCUUACCCUCAACCAGCUGGUGGAUUUAUCCAUCUGGCUGGAUAACCUGUUGGCCACCCGCGGAUUUCCGGAUCGGGGUCCGUCCAUUCCAUCCCCCAGCAACUCCG